rnacentral:rRNA from 1 species
UACGUAGGUGGCAAGCGUUGUCCGGAUUUACUGGGCGUAAAGAGCGCGCAGGCGGUCGGAUAAGUCGAAUGUGAAAGCCCCCGGCUCAACUGGGGAGGGUCAUUCGAUACUGUUCGACUCGAAGGCAGGAGAGGGAAGUGGAAUUCCAGGUGUAGCGGUGAAAUGCGUAGAUAUCUGGAGGAAUACCGGUGGCGAAGGCGGCAUCCUGGACCGAUAUUGACACUGAGGAGCGAAAGCUAGGGGAGCAAACGGG